rnacentral:rRNA from 1 species
GUGAGGAAUAUUGGUCAAUGGGCGGAAGCCUGAACCAGCCAAGUAGCGUGAGGGACGACUGCCCUAUGGGUUGUAAACCUCUUUUAUGUGAGGAUAAAAGACGGUACGUGUACCGUUUUGCAGGUAUCACAUGAAUAAGGACCGGCUAAUUCCGUGCCAGCAGCCGCGGUAAUACGGAAGGUCCGAGCGUUAUCCGGAUUUAUUGGGUUUAAAGGGAGCGUAGGCCGCCUUUUAAGCGUGUUGUGAAAUGUAGACGCUCAACGUCUGAAUUGCAGCGCGAACUGGAGGGCUUGAGUGCGCGGUAAGCAGGCGGAAUUUGUGGUGUAGCGGUGAAAUGCUUAGAUAUCACGAAGAACUCCGAUUGCGAAGGCAGCUUGCUGUAGCGUUACUGACGCUGAAGUUCGAAAGCGCGGGUAUCGAACAGGAUUAGAAACCCCAGUAGUCC